CCUACGGGAGACAGCAGUGGGGAAUAUUGGGCAAUGGGCGCAAGCCUGACCCAGCAACGCCGCGUGAAGGAAGAAGGCCUUCGGGUUGUAAACUUCUUUUCUGAGGGAAGAAGAAAGUGACGGUACCACAGGAAAAAGCCACGGCUAACUACGUGCCAGCAGGCGCGGUAAUACGGAGGGGGCAAGCGUUAUCCGGAUUUAGUGGGUGUAAAGGGCGUGUAGGGGGGAAAGCAAGUCAGAUGUGAAAACUCAGGGCUCAACCCUGGGACUGCAUUUGAAACUGGUUUUCUUGAGUGCUGGAGAGGCAGUCGGAAUUCCUGGUGUAGCGGUGAAAUGCGUAGAUAUCCGGAGGAACACCAGUGGCGAAGGCGGAUUGCUGGACAGCAACUGACGCUGAGGCGCGAAAGCGUGGGGAGCAAACAGGAUUAGAUACCCGGGUAGUC
rnacentral:rRNA from 1 species